ensembl:lncRNA
CUGCCCUCAGUCCUGCCCACUGUCCACCUGAGCCACAGCACAGUGUGAGGCUUACCUGAGAGGACACGGAAGGUGCCGCUUUAGACCAGUGUGUUGUGUGGGAUGGCCCCAGCAUGUCCCACCAGUACCUCUUCUCUAAGAAGGCUGUGACACUCAGAGAACGAAUCCCUAGAAACAUCCAGAACCAUACAGAGGAGGGGACAGAAGUGGCAUCAUCUGCAGCCUCAAUGGUCAGUACUGCCCGGUGUGUAAGGCCUGCUGCACAGAGGACUGUGGAGAGCAAGGCACUGACCAGAGCUGUUUAAAGGAACUGCCGCUGUCACAGAAG